rnacentral:lncRNA from 1 species
AUGAGCGUCCUCAUCUCCCACAGGCACCGAGAGGUUUGGCUCUGUGGUUUUUGUGCAGGAAGAAUUCCCCAGCCUUCUCUUUUGUUUUUCCCCCUUACUAAUAUUAUUUUUCAGCUGUUUACCCCCACGAAUGAAAAAAAAGUAUUUUUCUUCAUUACUGCGCCUGCUACCAAAGUGACUCAUUUACAGAUUCAUUUUGGCAGAGGCUGCAGCAUCUGUUAUAAUUUUUACCUGGUCCCCAAGGGCAAAGCUUCUUACCUUGCUGGCUUCAAAGUACUGUUGCCACUUAUGUGUCAUCCCUGCUCUCAAAGCUUCAUUGUCAGCAAUCCAGAAAACAAGCCCCGAGUCCGUGUCUCCUGUAACCUCAGUGAAUACGUUGCCGAAAGCUCUGUCUGGUGUGGAUACAGCAUGAGGAAAGAGAACCGGCGUACACCCUGCAGUUCUCAGCGACGAAAUUCCCGCUACGUUGUGCCUUGAAGUCACCUGCAGGGCUCCGCGUUCCCUCUAGGGUGGGCGGGAGUCGGAGCGCGCGGCGCGCAGUGCGCGGAUGGACGCCAGGGGGCGCUAGUGCGGCGCGGCGCGGGCGAAGGGGCGGGGACGAGCCCAGGGCGCCACUCAGUCCCCGCGCGGGAAGCCUUGGGGCGCGCUGCCGGGCGGCGUGGGCCGCGGUGGCAUCCGACUGCGGGGUGACCGCGCCUCCCGGUCCGGGGACUCAGCAGCCACCGCGGCCCCUGGAUUGCCCUGGUGGGACAGGUGCGUGGGAGAAGGAGGCUGAAAGCGCCCUCCCACUAAAGACACACGGGCGCAGGGGAGCCCUGGGAGGGCCACGGGACAGCCCCAGAAAGGUCCCAGGAGGGACUCGGAAGAGCCCCAGGAAGACCCCCAGAAAAGCCCCCAGGAAGGUCCCAGGACAGCCACCAGGAAGGUCUGGGGAGAGCCCCGAGAAGGUCCCGGGAGAGCCCCAGGAACGUUUGGGGAGAGCCCCAGGACAGCCCCAGGAAGGUACCAGGAGAACCCCAGGGAGGUCCCGAGAGAGCCCCAGGAGGGCCCCAGGAAGGCCCCGGGAGAGCCCCAGAAAAGGGAAAGCACGGAGCCAGCACGAGGCCCGCAGCAACAGGAGCGGCGUCAAGGGGAGGGUGCUUGCACCGCGGCCGCCGCAGGGCCCACAGUGUACGGUGUGGGUUUUUCCGUUUGGUUUUUGUUCUUGUUUUUGUUUGUUUGUUUGUUUGUUUGUUUGUUGAGACAGUGUCUCGAUCUGUCGCCCAAGCUGGAGUGCAGUGGUGCGAUCUUGGCGUACUGCAACCUCCGCCUCCCAAGUUCAAGCGAUUCUCCUGCCUCAGCCUCCUGAGUAGCUUGGACUACAGGCAUCCGCCACCACACCCAGCUGUUUUUUGUGUUUUUAGUAAAGACAGGGUUUCACCAUGUUGACCAGGAUGGUCUCAAUCUCUUGACCUCGUGAUCCACCUGCCUCGACCUCCCAAAGUGCUGGGAUUAUAGGCAUGAGCCACCGCGCCUGGCCUAGGAUGUGGUUUUCUGAGGCACGAUGCCCAGGUAAUGUCCCCAGGUCACCAGAGGUGCAUUUCUGCCAUUGGUGAGGUGGGAGAAAGGCCCUGCGCCUCACAGUGGCAGAUCUUUCUGGAAUGCAAGCUGAGGGCGUCGAAGUGCCUGCUGUGUGUGGGGCAGAGACAGAUGACCAGCCUUGGCCUGCCUUUGAAUCCCUGUCUUUGGCUCCAGGGGCCACUGGCAGCAUCUGGAGCUGAUUUGGUUGGAGGAGGGGCUGCCACAGGCAUCUAAAUGGGCAGAGGCCAAGGAUGCAGGCAGGCCUGUGGCCAUGCACAGGAUUGCCCCACAGAGAGGUCCCUAGCCCUGCACAGGACAGCCCCACAGAGAGGUCCCCGGCCAUGCACAGGAUCACCCCACAGAGAGGCCCCCAGCCCUGCACAGGACAGCUCCACACAGUUAUCCUGUCCAAAUGCCACUGGGGCGAGGCUGAAUAUCCCAGUCAAGAGAGACAAAGACAGGCAUCCAGGGAAAUGCUCUGAUGGGUUCCCAGGGGCAUGGGGACAGGGUGCGGAGCCACUCAGCUGUGCAGUAUAGACGUCCCCCCGGUGGUGUGGGCAUUGGCCCUGCUCCCUGGGCCCCAGGACAGUUACUUGCAGAUUUCUUCUUGCAUUUGGACUCUAUUUACCAUCACUCCAUGGAUAUUAACUGGGUGCCUACACUGCAAGCUCAGAUCGCACAAGGGAGACCAGGUCCCCUUCCAUCUGUUAGGACCGCAGUGGAGAGAGCUGCAGUUGGCCCCUCAGGCUUGGAUUACACCAGGUGAAACCCCAGUAGUUGCUGUGAUCUGGCUGCGUGAAGCGCAUGUUCUAAAUGGGUUAAGCAGGACGGAUCCUACACAGAGUUAUUGGUGUUCAAAGAUGAGUUAAACAGAAGAAACCAUUAGGGUUACUAAAGUAGAAAUAAUUAAAACAGAACAACAGAAAACUAAGCUCGUGAACUGAAUGCAGAAUCACAAAGUAUUUGGAAAGAGGUGAUGCGUGAUUCAAAGAUCUAUGAACAUACCAGGAAUUUGGAAGUGGGGAGUGAGAAAGACAUAGAGGAAAGUGAAGAUAUUUGAACUACAUUGGGCAGUGGGGGUUGGGGGGCUCUUGCAAAUAAAUAUUAAAGAAGUAGAUGGUAAAGAAUGGUUUAGAAAAAUGUCGAGGUUACUACUUUUACAACUAAAAAUACAGAGAGCUUUCAAAUCAUGAGAGAUGAUACAAACAAAAUAACAGCCCUCCAUAGCUUUCUCCUGCUGCCUCACAAAAUACCACAGACUGGGUGGCUUGAACCACAGACACUCAUUUCUCAGGCUUUGGAGGCCGGAGUCCUGAGGGGUGGGUGCCAGCAUGGCUGGGUUCUCACCAGGCCCCUCUUCCAGGCUCACAAAACGCCACCUUCUUACCCUGCCCUCAGUGGCCUUUCUUGGUGCCAGCAUCGGGGAGAGAGUGAGCGAGCUCUCUGGUGUCCCUUGUUAUAAGAGCACUAAUCUCAUGGGAUCAGGGCCCACCCUUAUGGCCUCAUGUAACCUUUACGGCUGCCUUACUCCACACACAGCCAUACUGGGGUUUGAGGCUCCAGCAUGGGAAUUCUGGGGCCUCACCAACAUUCAGUCCAUAGGAGGCCCUUAGGAUGAAAGGCUGGGCUCGAAGGAAACUGCAUAAAACAAAACAGACAUCUCGGAGCAAGGGAGAUGGGGACCCACAGCCACACAAAGGAGCUGGGGACCCACAGCCACACAAAGGAGCUGGGGGACCCACAGCCAUGUGUUUGUUGUUGUGAUUAAGAGACAAAGAGUUUUUAAAGCGACGUUACACAUAAACAUCAAAACAACAUUGAACUUCCAGGGAAGAGGAUGGAUUAAGUGGGUGAGAGUUUCCAAGAUGGUAGGGGCUGAAUUGUGUCCCCAUAAAUCCAAAGGAUGAAGUCCUAACCCCUAGGACCUCAGAAGGACCUUGUAGGGAGAUGGGGUCUUUACAGAGGUGAUCAAGUUAAGAUGAACUUGUUAGGGUGGGCCCUAGUCCAGUAUGACUGGUGUCCUUAAACAUGGGGGACAUUGGACACAGACACCCACAGGGAGAUCCCUGCAGGAAGGUAAAAAUAGCUGUCUGUAAGCCCUGGGGGAGGCCUCAGAAUGUGGCUGUAUUUGGAGGUAGAGCCAUUCAAGAGGAAAUUAAGGUCAAAUGGGUUCACUGGGGUGAACCCUAAUCCCAUAGGACUGGUGUCCUUAGAAGAAGAGAAGAUGAGGACACGGACACACAGAGGGAUGACCAUGUGAGGACCCAGGGAGAAGGCAUCUGUCUACAAGCCACAGAGAGAGGCCUCAGGAGAAACCAGCCCUGCCCAACCUUGAUCUUGGACUUCCAGCCUCCAGAACUGCGGGGAGACACAUUUGUGAUGUCUGAGCCCCCGACAUGUGGUGCCUAGCUAGGGAGGCUUUGCAAGCUCUUUCACCACAUCAAAACAGGUGUGUCUCAGGCUCUUGUUUUUCACUGUGUCAAAGUGGGUGGGUCUCAGAGUCUUGUUUUGCUGUUUUAUGGAUUUGUUAUGUGUGCUAAUACAUGGAAGAGACCUAAACAUAAUUCUAGGAUGUGAAGAAGCCAGCCAACAAGGG